CGUCACAUGACUAAUCAGACGUCUUCAGUCAUUUAGCAGUCAGCAAGCAGUUCAUUUUGCGACCUUCAAUCUCGAGUUCUUCGCUGACUUUAUUGUAUAACAUACUUUUUCAUAAUUCUAUCUAGAGAAUGUUAUUGUUCUACCAGGAUUAAAUCUUUAGUUUGUUAAACCUCUGAAGGGUUGGCAUUAUUGGCACUUUGUCAGAACGCGAUGGCUCAGAUUUCACCGGCUCACAUGUGGAGUAGACAAGAUUAAUAGUAUUUCCUCUGAGUGUUUGUACGAGAUUAGAAUCGUAUAUACCACAUCCGAAACUCAUCUUCAGAUCCUCAUCCAUCAAGAGAAACAACCAGGGACUGUUUAGCCAAUGCCCUCAGGAGUGAUGCCAAGGUCAAACUGUUAAGAAAGGUCCAUACCCGAUGACCUUCACAGUUACCGUAAAGACUACAUGCAUACUAUGGUGCCAUCUUUCUGGCGCGGCUGACGUGCGCUGCACAUAUAAUGUCCUCAUUAAGUGAAGCCUCAGAUUUUAAAGCAUAGCAUUGAUUCUAAGCACCAAUCCAGGAAUUCAUCCCACGGACAGCUGGUACUUCUUGUGGGAGUCCUCCGCUGCGCUACAGUCAUGUUCUAUAAUUAAUUAGAAAAAUAAAAAAAAGCUGCCAUAACCGAGAAUGGGGAUCAUACCUGACCAGUCUGAACCGCCAUGUAAUUAAAUCCCUUCUCUUCCGAGCACAUUAAUGUAUCGUAUAGGGGGCCCACGUAUAGAAACGGUGACGCAAUCAUCAUGCAGAGCAGCACAUUUAUUAUCGGAGGAUAAAAUGACUCAAUUAGAGCGACAUAGGAAAAUCAUAACGUCGCUGAACGCCGGUCACAGAUUUCAUCAGCGCAAUUUCUAGCAGAUUGGUAUUUUUUCCAGGUCUAUUGAUGACUCACAUCCAAAGCAAAUGAAGCAAAAAAAUAAUAAUAACAGCACAGCAUAACAUAAAUAUAAAAAAAAGUAGAAACAAAUUUCAGAGUGGCAGCUGCAGGAGAUCGGUUGUUUCUUCAUUGGAAAAUGUAGAAGCUUAAAGAAGAUGUCCAGUGCUAAGAAAUGUAUCCCCUAUCCGCAGGAUAAAUGUCUGAUUGUGUGGGGGGGGUCCGACAGCUGGGACCCAGCGAUCUCUCAUACAGGGCCCGACUCGGCCCUGGCUGAGCUGCUGUGUGUGCCGUUUCGCACACAGCAGGUCAGCUUGUACAAACACCCCCCCUCCAUUCAACUCUAUCGGAGAGACAGAGACAAAGCAUUCCCGUAUCUCUGCCUCUCCCAUAGAGAUGAAUGGAGGGGGCGUGUUAUGACCACUGGUCAUUGACCAGCCCCUGAGAACCAACAUUUACCCCCUAUCUUGCAGAUAAGGGAUAAUGGGGAAGAUUUAUCAAGACCAGUGGGGAGGAAAA